CUCUAUCUCCGUUCUGCGUACGAUACUUCGCUUUUUCUCUCUCUUUCUCUUUCUCUGGCUGGUCCUAGGUAAACGCGAAGAGAGGUAGACUGGGCAGUCGACGAGUGACUACGGUGGUGGUGGUGGUGGUGGUGGUGGUGGUGGUGGUAGUGGUGGUAGUGGUGGUGGUGGUUACGAUGGUGGUGGUUGAUGCGAUCCGAUAGUAGUGGUGGUACACGAAUUCCGCUUGAAACGAGUGCGUAUAUACCGUCCACUGAUCGGAGCGUGGCAGGACGGUGACAGUGACGAUGAUGGUAACGGUGGUAGUAGUGACUCUCUGCGGUGGUGGUGGUGGUAGAGAAGAGGCCAGGUGGGCCCCGUGGCUUACAGACGAGCCCAGAAAGGGUUGAGGGUCCGAAAAGCACGGUUCUCUCUCUCUCGAGAACUCCCGGCGGAAUACUCACGCUAGAGAGGAGGCCUCGCGAGCCUCGUGAGUUCGUUUGUAAAGGGACCGUAGUAUUGGUUCCUCGUCGAGUGGCACCUCUUCUCUUCUCUCUUCCUCUCUUACUCGCUCUCCCUCUACCUAUCUCUUUCCUACGCUUACUCUUUCCUCCCACCAUUGCCCCACCACCUACCACCACCUUCCUCCACUCUCCCUUUCCCCACUGGUGCUCUCACUAUUACAUUACAAAUAGCUCUCUUGCCUAGGCCGCGUUUGUGAGGUGUUGCUCCUUCCGUGCACAUUUACGUUACUCAACAUUGUGUGCAAGUACGCGCGCCACGAUUCACGUGUGGAACCUGUGUGUUUGUGUUCCUCGAUGCACAUGCACGAACUGUCGUACGAUAAGAGUACAGACUUCGUCUGUCUUCAUUUCUUCCGUCUUCUUCUCUUCCUCUCCCUCUCUCUCCCUCCCUCCCACUCCCCCUCGCGCCGCCAACCCUGUCUCUUUCCCUUCUACGUUCUCCUUUUCUCUUUCUCUGUUUUUCAUCUUUUCUUUCUCGUUUCUCCGUCUAGACGCGCGCAUAUGUCCAUACCGUUCGCUAGUGUGCACACGUACGAACGCACACGCGAAAAACGCAACCACUCUAUACUCUUUAUUCUCGUCCUCGUCGCUCGGAUACGGCCGAAUAGCGAGUUUCUUUGUCACGAUAAUGGUGUAAUACAAGGCUCCGCUCGUGCUCGUGCACGUAAUACGUAAGAAUGGAGCGAGAGAGCUUCGCAGACCCUUGCGCCCCUCUCUUUUUCUUUCCUUCUUUCGUUCUUUCGUUCUUUCUUUCACCCUUUCUUUUUUUUUUCUUUCUUUCUUUCAUUUCGUUUCGUUUCCUUCCUCCUCUUCCCUACGACCGGAGCUCUCUCACCCCGUCUUUUGCGACCCAACAUUUCCGUUCUUUCUGUGCGUCCUCCCGUGAGCCUUUUUCUCCUGUGUCCACCAUGUCUAUCUCUGUAAUCUCUAUCCCGUUCUCUCUAUUAUUCCGUCUUUCUUUAUCACCGGCUGAAACUUUAUCUUUUGCUUUUCACUGCCCUCCCUCGAUCCGUCCCACUCCCACUCUUUGUCUUUCCCGCUUCUUUUCUCACUCCGCCUCGAUCCACUGGUCUAUGCGAACGAGCAAACGCGCUUGCGCGUCUCUUCAGUCUCUCGCGAACCGAGGAGAUAGAACGUUAUGUUUUCACCGCCUCCCUUCUUCCUUCCCCUUCCUCCUUCCUGUAAAUCCCUCUCUAGGCUCCAGAUCGCUCUCUCGUUUCUUUCGCCGACCUUCCAACCCGUACCUAUUCUCCUCUCGUUCACCUAUCACUCCCACGUGCUUUCUUCCCAUUUAAAAACGUAUGGCCCGCGACCGGCCGGUUCGUCCAAUCGGUUCGAGCGCGCGACCGUCGCGCGUACUCUUUUUCAUACGAAGAAUUAUGUCGUUGCUCUAGUUAUGCAUCGGAAACGCUUUCAGCCGUGAUCGAUAGUGAAAUGCUUGAAUGACUCGCUGGUAAACACCUACUGCUUCGAGCUUCCUCCGCGUUUACUUUGAUUACGAGUUUAGCUCGUGACACGAGCAUCUUUAACCGCUCUUAUCGUCGGAUUAACCUUAAAUGGGCUCGAACCCGUUCCGCUUAUUUGUCCGUUUCUAUACCGUCCGUUCCAUGCUUCGGUCGUUUACAAAAGACUCGCUUGCUUACUAUGCUCCAAUUCGAAUUGUUUAGAACCGUCCGAUGGUCCAUUCGCGGUUUUGCGCGGUAGUCGCUCCGAAUCGAUGAUUACGCGUCACGAAAUUAUCGUAAAAAUUGCAAGAAAACUCUCGUUAGUCCGAAUCGAGUCUACGAAAAACGAGCGGAAGCUUUUCAGCGACGUUUUUCUCAUUCAUUGCCGCGAUUCGUGUCAGCCGUCUGUACGCCGCGCGUUCGUUUCAUUAACGAAAGCUUCAGCUCGUGAACGUUUUACUUUUCAUUGGGACUAUUUAUAAACAUUCUUCGAAAGAAUUUCAUGGCCGACUGGUGUGGCUUGAAUUCGAGUCGGUGCACCAGGUAUGCGAUUGUUUCAUCGUUCCUCUUUCUCUAGCCAGAUAGCAGGGGACAGGCGUACCCGCAGCUAAUGCCAUUCGUAGAUUCGGACAACGAUGUGCACGCGUCCGGAGAUUACGGCAGCGCAGCGGCUGGCUAUACUUAGAGCGGUAGACGAAUUUCGCUCGAGGGACGCUCCGAAAGGAGGUCGAGAAACAGCUGAUGCGAUAUGUGUUGCGUUCAGCUCCUCGCCGCGAUAAACUCUUCCUAUGCUCUUUCUCGCCACGAAACAUAGUCCGACCGUAUUAACACGUUCGCUGUCGGACGAAUUUUGCACGUUUUACGUAUAACGUCGGAACGUUGUCGCUUAUUUUAGCAUCGUAUCUAAGAUUUUUUAAGGCGCAUAUAUACUAUGCCCGAUUUAAAAAUGUAUACAUAUAUAUACGCACUGUAUUCUUAAGUAUCGAAAAUGCAAGAAAACAUUUUAUACGAAAAUCGGCGUUUCUUUCACGGAAGAAACUCAACGCUGCUACUACCGACCGAUACGUAGCUACUUGUUCGUGCAUGUAAUAUACAGUCGGUUAAAAUUAAAACGAUACGAAACUAUACAAGUAUAUGUGAUUAUAUUUCUAUCUCGAUAACAGUAAACGCUAAUAUUAAUAAAAAUACUUGCAUGCUUUCUAACCGGAAAAAAAGAUCCGGUAGCGGUCAUGUUGAUUUGGUAGCUUUGUUGUUCGUAUAACAUUUCGAUUUUUAUUUUCAUUGUUAAUACAUUAUACGUAUUUUGUUUUAAUAACGACGUAAUUUUUUGAAACGGAGCUGUUGUUACUGUCGUCACUUUAUUAUACAUUUCGAGAUGAAUUCAACAGUAUGCAACACGAGUACAUAUCAACGAGUUAAUUUGUGAAAAAUUACUAAUAAAUACGUAACAAGUUUGUAUCUUUUAGUCGUGCCAUGUGUGUCUACGAUACGAGAGACAAUCGAGUCGAAUGCUUUUGCUUAAGGGAGUGAUUACAUUAGCGUGUACCUACGUAUAUGUAAUACCGCGUGUACCCUCAAACCCUCAAACCAGGGGUAUACAAACUACAACAACCAACGUUGUUUCAGCAUUAUCUGGCGCAUUUAGUACUUGACGUCAACGUAAUUACGAACAUUGAAAACUGUACGAAUAGACUGCUUAUUUAAUUUAAAUCAUCGAUGACCUCCAUGGUGCCCCUGGUAAAUCUAUCGUUAAUCACGAGUAAGUCGUAUGACAUACGUGUUAAUUCGAUUUCUUCGAUCGAAUAAAGUACUUGCGGCUAUAACAAAAAGCAAAGAUCGACGGAGCCUUGAAAUAAAAUAAUCGGAGCCGGAAUAACGUGAAAAUGUCAGUACGUUGCUUUGUUCGAGUUGUACGAACUGCCGUCGGCCUCGUUCGAUUUAUUUCGUGAUUUAAUAGUAAGUGCUGGAAGACGUUGAACAGGCCCGUUACUGUGUUCCACCUGCGUUAAAAAUGUCAUCCUCUCGCUUAAUAAUUUAGUCGCUAAUCGAUGAGAAAUCGAUGACCUUUUGGACAAAUACGAGCGUGGUAAACCUGGUAACGCCGUCUUAAUCAAUUGAAUCCAACGUUAAACCGCGAUUACGUGGUUCAAUCGUUUCGACAGUCGAUAAGAAGAAGUGUCAGCGGUAGCGAUGCAUUUUCCGGAAGUGUGUCGACGUUAAAUAUCAGGUUAAUCAUCGUUCACGCGAUCGAUUAUUUGACGUUGAUUAUCGAAAAAUUGACGAUUUUUCGGAUGAACGAACGUAACAAAACGUGAAAGGUAAACUUCUCUUCCUCUGUUCUUCUUCCUAUCUUUCUUUCUCUUCCAAGAAGCCGUCGUACGUUACGUUAAAUAUUUACCCGUGCUAUCUACGUCGACGUAAUUGCGAGAAAUUAAUUAAUUCGCGCGCAGUCUCGUGGACUCGGCCCGUUACCGCCUGGCGUCGAGUUAUCGAGCUCGAUACUAUUUAUUUAUUUAUGGUGCGGUCUAAAUUAAAAGCGCGUCGAGAAGGCCAAACGCCUUGCGUAAUCGUUACAGGGAACACUCGGCUGUUUAUCAUUACGUGCGAAAGAUAGAAGGAAGUGGAGGGGAAAAAAAGGAAGUGAGAGAGAAAGAAGAACGAAGAAAAGAGAGAAAAGUUGCAAGGUCCUCUUCGACCUCAGCACGCAUGCAAUUAAACGCUCUGCUAUUUUUUUCGCAAUUUCCUCUUUGUUUUCCACCGUAGAUCCAUCGAGAUCUGCGUUUUGCCAUUAUUCGUUUCCUUCGGUUUUUGCUUAAUUUGCAUUCAUCUUACUCGUUAUUUAUAUCACAGCGUAGUAGUCUUCGUUUCAUCGUUAUCGCCAAUGGAGAAAAAGCCGGCAGAUGCUGCGCAAAUUUCUCGGUGAACUUCUACCUUGCCGUUGCUUUCUACAUUGAAUUCGUCUAGUUGAAAGUCGCGAUAGAGACCCGUAACUAUAAACUACUAACGUCGACCAUGUACAUAGGUGGUGAGCAAACAUUUCUCUCGCUAUCUGCACAAUCUUAUCACCUUAGAAAUUCUUUUCCUCGCCUGACUCAUGCGACGGUAUAUGUAUAAUUAGGGCAGCCUACUCCAGUCGUCGCGUCGUUGUCGACCGGUAAAAUGAAUUCAACUCUUUACUACGGCGGAAUCGAAAGGUCUUUCGCGCGAUAGCGUUUCCCCGCAGCCACCAUUUCCAUGCUUAAAAUUUCCAACUGUUGCGUCCGCGAUUUGAUAUUUCACGCAAUACAUAAUCCUCCAUGAACGUUGCCCAACGCAGUCUGUCGCUCAACGUAAUUCUUUACGAACGUGUAUACGUUAUAUAGUUGGAACGGCACGCGCGAAAGUAUCAGUCUCCUUCUGUCACAGGCAACGUAAAAGAACAUAAAUUCCGUUGACACGGCACUAUGCACAGAAAUUAUGGAACAACACCCUUGGACCGCUUGGUCUCUUUCGUGAGACGGUCUCACCCUACUCCUAACUCCUUCACUCCGUCUUUCUCUCCGUCCAUUUCUCUCUCCUUCUCUCUCCUUCUCUCUCCCUCUGACGGACUCUCCUUUCUAACUCUCCUUACUGCUACCUCGUCCCAUGAGAUGGUCGCCGACCGUCGUACUUGCACCUUUCUCACAAGACGACGCGACGCAGCUCUAGCCAUUCCUUCUUUCCUUGUCCCUUUCACUGGGAUCGAGCCAGAAGGGGAAAGAAGUUUCAGCGAAACGAGGAAGAAAGAGAGAAGAAAACCGGGAAAAGGGAAGGGAGAAGCGGGGACGAAGGUGCAACGGAACGGGAUGAAAAGGGGGACGAGAGAAGAUCGAGGGAGAAAGAGAGAAGGAGAGCGUCGAAGGAGAGAAUGAGUGAGAAUGUCGAAGAGCGAGAGAGAGCGAGAGCGGGGAGGGGAGGGGAGGAGGCGGGGGGAGGCAGGCGAUAGGGAAGGAGAAUGCAGAAUGAGAAAUAGAAAGACGGAGAUCCAGUUUGACCGUAUAGGUUAGAUCCUCGUUGGUCUCGUAUAUUUCGAGGUGACUCGUUUUAUUGCGAAUCCGGUUUGCUUCCCGUGACGGAGGGUGAAGCAAGAAAGCGCGUGAGGAGGCAGGAAGAGAAAGAGAAAGAGAGAGAGAGAGAGGGUAAACGCGCGAGAGGGCUGCGAUGGACGGCGAAGGAAGCGGAGGAGGAGGAGUCGUAGGAAAAGGAAAGGAAAGGGAGGGAUCUUUCUUUGGUCGUUCCAACGAUACGGGCCCUCCCUUUCUCCUCUCAUUCUCUUCUAGCCGAUGCUGCACGCUUCGUUGCUGAAUCGUUGCCUGUCGAGCUUCCAUCGUUGCUGCCUCGGAAGAGACGGCGAACGCGCGUCGGUGAUGCUUGCUCUUGUUGCUACCGCUAGUUGCUACCGACCGGUAGUUCGAACACCGAUGCACAUUACGCGAUGCUGGUGUAGGUGAUAGAGGUGACGAAGCUGGAGGUGGUGGCCAGUUUCAAGGUUGCCUCCUCGAUCGUUACAACAUGCGCACACAGUUAACAACUAGUCGUACUCAUCAUCUUGGGCGAUUUCUUGGGCACGAUUUUCUACCGGUAUGUCGAUACUUAUGCUCGAUCGCGAAUAUACAAGUGUGCGCUCAACGUCAUCGAUAAAUUCUCCUGCUUUAAUUGCAUAAUGAUUCGCCGCAGAUACGAGAGAUUUAAAAGAGGUAUUACAGAAUCGAUCGGUCGUCGUCAACGUUAUUUCGACCCGUCCUUCGGAAUCGAUAAAAAUAAUCAAUUUGUUUGUUUGCUUAAUUGCAUAUCUGGUAUCGUUACUUGUUGCGCUUACUCGUUGUACAUUAUUUUCACGAGCGUCGUACACGAGCUUCGUUUAGCAGAUAAGCAUUUGGUCGGCGAAAGGCUCGUUAGUAAAUUUUUCUAAUUCGAAGAUAAUAAUAGGUGGGGUUUCUCGCAAUAUAUUUUAAGUACUAAAUACCUAUCUGCGAUCCUUUCGGUACGUCCAAAGUUCACGAGCAAAACCGAUAAUAGCUUUAUUUAUAAAGUAGAUUGUUACAAAGCUGCAAAUUUUUCAAACAAUUUGUAAAAAUCUUGUUAUCGGUCUAAACAUCGUUCAAAAUUGCAUAACACACACUUCUACGUACGUACGUUACGUACGUAUGUAACGCACUUAGAAUAAGGAUAAAUGGAUGUCGUAACUACGAAAUGGAUAUUUAUUAAUGGUUUAAGAAAAAUGAACCUUUUAAACGUGUUGUUAUAGAUCUAAUGUAACGAAGAUUAUGUUUAAAAUUAGCAAGUACCCGAUAAUUUGGAGGGAGGGGCGGGAAUAUCACAGUGUCUUCUGCAGGAAAUGCUUCGAAUUAAUUGUCUGUUGGUUUCGUAACCUAGCGAUUCGAUGAUUUGGAAAAUGAGAAAAACAAGCUCCUCUUCGAGUCUCGCGAAACGGCCGCGCCCCAUUAGGAUUCGAGGAAAAAACCUUUCCAUCCUACUUCGAUCGUCUGAGCGAACUUACGUCAUUUACGACGCUUUGUCUUCCUGCUCGAGGUAUCUCUGUCUCGGUUUCUCGUAAUUGAUUACAAAGUUUAGCAUAAUACUUCUACCUGGGAAAUUUAAUUAUACAUUCGCAUAUGAACGGCAUGAAAAUUACGCUCGCUUAAUAGAAUCCGCGGUCCAGGAACUGGCGUGCAACGAGAAGGCUGGAACGAAACGAGAGAGAUUCUUCUAAUUGUCGCGCAAUGCCACGAUAAGUAUCACAGCAGCUAAUGAAAAAAUGCUUAUGCUUCUCCGUGGAAAGAUACGGCUCGGUCUAAAAUCAGAACAAGGUUGUGUAAGCGUAUGCAGAGAGUGCUAACAUUGAUAGGUAUUUUUGCAUUAUCGUGGACGCGUCGUUUGAUAAAAUUUAAGGAGAUCCAUAGCGUCACUUUAGGUCGUUAUUUUACGAACUUUCGACACAGAUAAGUCGAUCUUCGUUGUUUUCUACCUACGAGUACUUUCUAUCUGCUAUAGUAAUAUCUACUGGUAUCUACUGGUAUUAAAAUUCUCACGGAAUUUCGAGUACAACGAUAACCCCCUCACUUACAAUAUCGUGCGAGAGACGCGGUACGUCGAUCUUAUUGAUUUAUUAUUUACUUCAAGAUAAUACAAUUUUACUUGUUCAACGAUCAAUUGGUAAUUGGUCAAUUAUUUAUCAAACAUUUUGCAAAAUAAAAUUAGUUGCACCUUCGUCUAUGCAUCUACAUAUCAAAAGACAUGUGCGAUUUGUUCGACGCAAUGGCUGAGCGAAUUGGAACGUAAGAACGCACGCAUGAAAUUGCUUCUUUCUAGAUAAAGUGGAAUGCCUGUUUUCUCAAACGUUCUAAUAAUAGCUAGCAGACAGGUGGGUACAUCUAUUUAUGCGCUUGGUUUUCGUUGUUUGCGAAAUUACGUAUCGUUUCUGUCAUGCUAAAUGCUCUUUUUUCCACAACGGCACCAAGACAUUGUUUCAUUCUUCGCUCGCGGUAAAAAAAUAACCAAAUAGCUGAACAUUUUACCAUCCAGUCGACUAAAUUAUUAUUCAUAAAUUCGUUUCGAGUCGUAAAACGAUUCUUAGUAUAGCCGGUAUUGUACUUGCAUCUGUUACGUCAUAUUUCUAUCCAUUCAACCUGCUCCAUGCAUUUACAUUUCGCACAGAGCGCACGAGUAAAAUUGAUCCAUUCGCACGUAUGCCCGCACAUUCCCAUGCGUUCCAUCGUUUUUCGAUUCGUACUUUUACCGGACCCUUCAUUCGGAUCACUGGCGGAGUAUCUACGUAUUCGCGAUUACGCUAAUGGAUUACGCUUAAAAUCGAUCCAUUUUGUCGUUGAUCGCGUCUCGCGUGACUUCCGUUACUCGAGCGUCUCAACUAUCGUCGGCUGCAGAAGAAAACUCGGCUGUGCUAUCAUCGCGGGCAACCAAGUAAUAGAGUGUAGCAAUAGAGUAGGCUGAUGUCAUGCGGUAACCUUCUACUUUGCACGUACAGUUGUUCACAGAAAUGCGCGUCUGUUGCAUCGUUGCCCGAUACGGUUCGUCGUAUAAUUUUCUAAAUUAGCGUCUCAAGUGGUCGGACGGAGAAACACGAGAAGCGAUUUCAUAAAAGCUACCAUCGAAGGAAGAGGAAGCCGAAGGAAGGAAGCCGAAGGAACGUCCGAUACGAUCGUUUCUUACGCAAUUAGGAAUUUCACGACGUCCUCGUGGUCGUUAUCGUAUCGGUGAUUUUUGCAGGCACGGCGGCGAUUCCACGGAGCUGUACGUCGAGACGCAGGCCGUACAAUCGCGUACGAAAAGAACCGAGGUGUACACACGGCGGUUCGUGACGAAUCUUUCAACGUCGAGUUAACGACGGCCGAUAACAGUCCUUUUUCCAUGGACGUGCUCGGAUAAUAGCAGGAAGCCGUCGACUUUCCAAAGCGGAAAACGCAGGUCCGCGCGAGCGCGCGUUUACGUCCACGCGCGUACGCAUCGAGUCCUCUGUUUCGCUCGGAGGAGAGGAAAAAAAUAAACGUAUUGCUGAACAGACCGGUAGCUUCGGGAAACAAUAGUUGACUGGUUGCGAGAGAAAACGAGGAAAAAAUCGACGCGAACAGCAAGAUGAUGCAAUCUCGGUAUCGAGUGCGAACUGUGUGUACAACGAGACUUGAAACGAGUCUUUCGUGAAAAAUAGCGAACCUGAUUGCAGAUAAAUGUUACUCCGCGGAAUUUUCAUCCUGAUAGCCAUCUUGUUAAUGUAUGAUUUGUUACGCGAUUGUACGUGAAUCUAGAACUGACACCGGCAAAUUAUGUGCGAAUGAUACACGGACUGUCUACGCGUAUACAAUCAGAUUACUAGAUUAACGUGAAAUCUCCGGGUGUACAAAAAGUACCUUACAUUCACCUCGUCGUUCGAAUCAACGUUCCGGCAAAAGUCGUGUAAACAACUUACGAGACAGGCUAUCUCGCUUAAAAGAAGAUAAAUGUACUUUCUUAUUUGAAAUUUCUAAUCUAACUAGAUGCGUGUGAGGGAUUGCUGCGCUGUGUCGUUGUUGCGUGAAUCUUUAGCUUUAUUCGUUGCUUCCUAGACUUCGAAACGAAGAAGUUAAAAACCGUAGACCGACGAUCGACAAAGACGGGCAGAAUAACAUCACGUAGAACAAAAAGUUUUCCAAGCUACUCGCCAGGAACGUUGAACAUAUCGGUCAUGGUGUUUUCACGUCUAUCCGGAAUAUUGUCGAUUACACUGAGAUAAAAAAGGUGUUUGCUCAGCAUUUAAAAGUGUUGUAACACGAUCGACACGUGGCAAGCGUUAGCAGGGAGCGUAGUGGCGCGUCUAAUGGUUGAGCGAGAUUUUCUAGAAUUUCUUCUUGCUUGGAUUCAGUGGAAUGGCGCCUCGGCGUUAAUUGACGAUCCUGAUCUCUCAUCUAGUCGUCGAGCACGCCAGACGCGGCAUUGCAGUGGCAUUACAGAUCAUUAUGUAAUGUCAUAAUGUUAUGUGAACGUUUUACAUUCGAUGCCUUGCACCACUGCGGUCUCAAGGUCUUUACAUUGUUGUUUGUACAACGAGUUAACACGUCGAUGCGAUCCAGGGACGUAUUUGCCGGAGAAAAUUGUACCGGCGCGGGCGCCUCUUCACCCGUCGACGCUCCUCAAAAUUCAUUCGCGAUAGAUUCAUUCUCGUACCGCGAAUCUAUACAUCGGUUAAAUUAUCUUAGCGACCGUUGUGCGAUCCAAGUUGAACAAACUCGAACUAUUAUUCCAUGUUACAUUAUCUUUCAUCAGUGUCGAAGAUGGUUUGACUAAAUAUCGUGGAUCAUUAAUCUAAUGAAUAAUCGACCGUUUCAAAUACGUCGAUCACCCUUGUCAAGUAUACGCCGCAUUUUCCGGUACUUUGAAACUCGAUACACGUAAUCGUAAUGAUAAUCGUGUUUCAUUAUUGCUAGCGAGAAGGAAAUUUCAAAAAUUGUCAUAUAGUUGGCAUGAUAUAUUCGUAAAAUGUUUCUAUAAAUGUUCAAGUACAAGAUACUUUCUGCUGGGACGUUAUAUCUAUAGUCGGAAAAUAAGAUUGUAUUAUUGCUAGGAAACGUUUACUGGUACGGUUUAGGGCAGUUAUCGUUAUUACCGAGCACAGCAAAAAAAAAAAAAGAAAAAAAAAAAGAACAACUCUCGGAGAGUCUCAACGUUUCUGUAAAGAUGCAACCUUGAAAGGAAAUUUCUCGAAGUGAUUUUUCCCGACCUUAAACUCUUCCUUUCGCCCGAAUUCGUCGCAACCAGUUCGCAAGCGCAUAAACGCUUCAAUGAAGUAUGGAAAGCAAGAAACACUCUGUCAAGCAAUAAUUUCGCCGAGGUUAAACGGGAAACGUCGUAAAGGUUAAUUAUACAAGCAGGUAUAAAUAAGGGUUAACGACGGAUCGACCGUUUCUAGAAUAAGUUCGUUUCGUCGCUACGCUCUGUAUAUAACCCGUUCACAAAAGAGAAUUUUCUCAGCACCGAAUGCCAAUCUCGAAAGCUCUCUUCCUCAUUGUCAUUUCCAGCUCCGUAAAUUAUUUUCGAACGUUUUGCUAACCGCCGCCAGAUCUUAUCGAGCGUUUAAACAUCAGAACGCCAAGAGAGCUUUAAUCGUGUUCGUACUCUUGUACCGUGAUUUGCGAGCGAGACAUAUCAUUGUUAGAUCUUCAAUUUGCAUUGUCGGCUCUGAAUAAGAAAUUACCGUAAUUACAAAUAUGAAUGAUAUAAGAACGAUCUACGUGCAUAUGGGCCGCACAUCGACCGUUUCUUAUUCGAUAAUUUAUUCUUUACAAUUACGACGCAGGGAAGCAGGGUAAAAUCUCAAAGUUUACUCGAUUAAUUAUUCAUUUAUUUAUUUAUUCGUGGGCGAAGACCCCUCGAUAUCAGGUUCGUGACAAAGUAAAAAAAAGCGAUUAGCAGCAAGUAACAAUAAAUCAACGGUAAUUGCACGACUGCGUAAAUGAGUUAUAAUAAAGAUUCCGAAGGUAGAUAAAGAUUUAUGAAACAAAAUCAAUGUUUUAUUAAAUCGGUUACAGAUAAUAACGACUCUUUCUACUUUUCGCUGCGAAGUAACGUAGAAAAGGUCGUUGUUUACGAGAGCUUCUCUCUUGCAGAAUAGGAAUAUUAUAUAAUUGUGUAAUACAGUUUAUUCAAAUAAACUUAAUUCUUUAAAUAUAUAAAUAUAUAUAUA